AGACGGGAGGCUGCAGUCCGGCUUAAGACGAUCCUGGAAGGUCUCUGGACAUGACCUUGGGGUGAGGACGUGGAGACACCUGAGUCAGCCACCAGCUUUUGGCCAUUGAAGAAAGAUGUCCUCGGUCCAGGUACGGCUCGUCCACCUCGCUGAGCGUGCAGACAGCUCUCCGGGGCGGCUGCUGCUGCCGCGAGCGUGUCAGGGCCCGGCUGCCCCGUGGCGCAUUCACCGUCAUCGGUCACGAGCUGGCAUUGUGGACAAGCAAUGGCUAGUGCAGAUAAAGCUGCUGUGGACAUCCUUCUCCAGUUCACUCCCUACCAUUUAGAAAGAGCCUGGAAACAAAGCCUUGGAAACACACACAGACCUCGGUUCACUGAAUCAGAGUAAAAGUUGAGUUUAUUUUGGCACAAAAAGCUUUUGAAAUCCAUGUGUGGUCUUUUCACAAUCGGCACUUUCCACUUUUCUGAAGACCGCUCACUUAUGACAAUUCAUCAUCUCCAAUCUUUAUACCUUUUGUUUCUUGAUUUUGCUUUAUUGGCUUGUUGCAUUGGCUAGGCACUCUCAGUCCACUGUGGAG